rnacentral:rRNA from 1 species
UACAGAGGUCUCAAGCGUUGUUCGGAUUCCAUUGGGCGUAAAGGGUGCGUAGGCGGCGCGGUAAGUCGGGUGUGAAAUCUUGGAGCUUAACUCCGAAACUGCAUUCGAUACUGCCGUGCUUGAGGACUGGAGAGGAGACUGGAAUUCUCGGUGUAGCGGUGAAAUGCGUAGAUAUCGAGAGGAACACCUGCGGCGAAGGCGGGUUGCUGGGCUGACACUGACGCUGAUGCGCGAAAGCCAGGGGAGCGAACGGG